rnacentral:rRNA from 1 species
AUUGAACGCUGGCGGCAUGCCUUACACAUGCAAGUCGAACGGCAGCGGACCUUCGGGUGCCGGCGAGUAGCGAACGGGUGAGUAAUAUAUCGGAACGUACCUUUCAGUGGGGGAUAACGUAGCGAAAGUUACGCUAAUACCGCAUAUUCUGUGAGCAGGAAAGCAGGGGAUCGCAAGACCUUGCGCUGAUUGAGCGGCCGAUAUCAGAUUAGCUAGUUGGUGAGGUAAAGGCUCACCAAGGCGACGAUCUGUAGCGGGUCUGAGAGGAUGAUCCGCCACACUGGAACUGAGACACGGUCCAGACUCCUACGGGAGGCAGCAGUGGGGAAUUUUGGACAAUGGGCGCAAGCCUGAUCCAGCCAUGCCGCGUGAGUGAAGAAGGCCU